UGUUUCAGGCGAACUUCAAGAUAUUUCAUCCCGCCCUUUUGCACGCUGGCAGGCAGCUGUGAGCGAGCUUGGCUCGGCUGAACGGGUGGACGCCCUGCAGGUCUCAGUUUCCUCGACUGAGAGGUGAGCCCGAUGCUGUGGCUGUGCUGUGUUCACGUUACCGAUGCCGGCAGUGCCCGCUGUACACGUGUGUGCGUGUGUGUCUACUUACACCCGGCCUUGUUCUGAGGUGCACUUCAAGCCUCUUGUAGGAAACCGUGGAGGAGCAGGGGUGCCACAGGUGAGAAGAAAAAGUGCGAACAAGAGGAUGGACCCACUCCCCACUGGGGACCCAGUGCAGCCUCAGCGCCUUCCACGUGGGCCAUGGACCCAUCACAGAUUUUGCCUUGAAUAUCCUGGUGGUUAAACCCAAUUGGCUAUGACUCCCAAUGUCCAGAAGACAAAAGUGACCGUCCAGCUGCCCGAAAUGUGCGCCUGUGGGUGUGGCCGUGCUGGUCGGCAUCCCAGCGAUAUAGCUUCUGAGGCGAGCCAGCCUGGGUCUCGGAAUCCAGGGAUCACCAUGGUGCAGACGCCCCAGGGCUGUGUGCAAAGCAAACGCCGUGAGGCUGGUGGCUGCCAGCGUGGAGGAGCUCAGAGCAGAGGGGACCCUUGUCCGGCAUUGCUGAGGGCUCAGAGACAGCCAGUAAGGCGGCGACGGAAGCAGUGUGCUCCCCGGGGACGGCUUGCCACAGACCCGGCUGUCUUGUGGUGAGAGUGCCCUCCUGAACUGUUUUGGGGCCCCGCCCCCUGCCUCCAGCCCAAGCCCUGGUCCAUGCCAGGCUCCCAGGGGGGUCUGGGUGCACAGUGAGUUAGGCGUGGUGUUUGCCCUCCAGGAGCCCCCCAGCCCAGCCAGCGCCCUGGGAGGGGUAGGUGUGCUCAUGGGAAAGGCCCCUUGUCUUCGGUGAGACCUUCAGGAGCUGGUGGGAGACAUGAAGGCUCAGGGAAAGCAGGGUCUGUGUGGCUCUGUGUGUCACAGCAGCCUCUGUGUCACUCUACCACGGCCAAGGGGUGUGAACUUGGGCAAGUUACCUGAACUCUCUGUGCCUCCAUCUCACCAUCCAUGAAAUGGGCAGAUCAUUCAACCCCACCUUUUAACGAGGUAGGAACUUUUAUUACUCCCAUUUUAUAGAUGGGAAAACUGAGGCUCAGAGAGGUGAUUUACCUAGGAACACAUAGCUAAUGUCUGACUCCAAAACUCACACUCAGUGAUUAACAGGAGAUGUCCAAUCAGCGUACUCUGGGGACAGA